rnacentral:rRNA from 1 species
UAGGGAAUCUUCCACAAUGGACGCAAGUCUGAUGGAGCAACGCCGCGUGAGUGAAGAAGGCUUUCGGGUCGUAAAACUCUGUUAUUGAAGAAGAACGUGUGUGACAGUAACUGGUCAUGCAGUGACGGUAUUCAAUCAGAAAGUCACGGCUAACUACGUGCCAGCAGCCGCGGUAAUACGUAGGUGGCAAGCGUUGUCCGGAUUUAUUGGGCGUAAAGCGAGUGCAGGCGGUCUUUUAAGUCUGAUGUGAAAGCCUUCGGCUUAACCGAAGAAGGGCAUCGGAAACUGGCAGACUUGAGUGCAGAAGAGGAGAGUGGAACUCC